rnacentral:rRNA from 1 species
UACGAAGGGGGCUAGCGUUGCUCGGAAUUACUGGGCGUAAAGGGCUCGUAGGCGGCCAACUAAGUCGGACGUGAAAUCCCUCGGCUUAACUGGGGAACUGCGUCUGAUACUGGAUGGCUUGGAUUUGGGAGAGGGAUGCGGAAUUCCAGGUGUAGCGGUGAAAUGCGUAGAUAUCUGGAGGAACACCGGUGGCGAAGGCGGCAUCCUGGACCAACAUUGACGCUGAGGAGCGAAAGCCAGGGGAGCAAACGGG